GAACGAGAUGGCAGUAGGCCUCUCAUCGAAAAAUCAACGUGUUUGUCGGUUGCCUGUCAGCAGUACAAUAUAAAGGAAGCUGUAAAUUAACGAGAUCGAUUUAAAAAGAGAGCAAGUUUAUUUCGAAAGUACGGCAGCACAAGGAAUUCAUUAAAGAGCGUGGCUUUACUAUGGAUAGGCAAAAUGAUCGUUUUGAGCGAGUUAAUACUUAUAUUUAUAUGGAUAUUCAUGUAUUUCCCAUACGUAAUAUACGCGGUGUAGAGUAUGGAUGCCAUUUAGUGAUUUAUUAUUAAUCAACUAUUCAGAUGCAUUUGUAAAACUGGGAUGGAAAGGGAUGAUUUGGAUUGGAAUAUCUUAGACAGAAGCGAAGCUGGUUUGUUUUUGUUCAAUAAUUUAAAACAAUGAACUUUAAAAAAAAAAAAUAAAUAAAUAAAAAAAAAAAUAGAAUAAAAUAAAUAAAUAAAUAAAAUAAAAAGUAGACAACUAUAAAAUGAAGUAAUACAAGUGUUUAACAUAUAUAAUAAAUAAAUGGAAUAAAUGUUAUGUAUCCCGAUAUAUAUGUAUAUUUCGCUAAA